GAUGAAGAACGCAGCGAAAUGCGAUAAGUAAUGUGAAUUGCAGAAUUCAGUGAAUCAUCGAAUCUUUGAACGCACCUUGCGCCCUUUGGCUAUUCUGAAGGGCAUGCCUGUUUGAGUAUCAUGAACACCUCAACUCUCAUGGUUUGCCAUGAUGAGCUUGGACUUUGGGGGUCUUGCUGGCCUACGGUCGGCUCCUCUCAAAUGAAUCAGCUUGCCAGUGUUUGUUGGCAUCACGGGUGUGAUAACUAUCUACGCUUGUGGUUUCCCGCCAGGUAACCUUCAGUGAUGGAGGUUCGCUGGGGCUCAUAAAUGUCCCUCCACAGUGAGGACAGCUUUUGAACGUUUGAUCUCAAAUCAGGUAGGACUACCCGCUGAACUUAAGCAUAUCAAUAAGCGGAGGA
rnacentral:misc_RNA from 1 species